GAACAUCAUAAUAUAUUACAUUAUUCGGCUGAUGUAUCGAUUAUUUAUACUUGUUAUAUGUGGCAACCCUGGAUAGUUGUUUCGUGAUGAAAACAAGUACAUUUCAGAAUGGCGACGUAACGGUUGUAAUGUAAAAAUCUAAAACCAAAUUAUCAAUUUGAAAAAGGUAUCCACCUUGGAAAACGUGAUAUUUAACCCCUUGUUAAACACUAUAAAGAUGAAUUCGUUGCGAUUCACCCUACGUUUAUUAUUCUCCAAAGCCAAUGAUGUAGUACACAACUGCGAGCUGUCAGAGUUUAGUGUCCAAUUCAACCAAAACAAAGCUUUCGUAAGGUACACAUUAGACGAUAGCAGAAAAAGCAUUGUAGUAAAUCAUACCGAGGUACCGCAAAUUUUUCAAGGACGUGGUGUAGGAAAACAAUUGGCAGAGGCCAUUAUUCAGCAUGCGAUACAAGAAAAAUUAAAAAUAUCCUUCGAUUGCAAGUUUACCGAAAAAUACUACAAUGAACAUAAAAAUCGAUUUUUAGGAUGAUCGGGAUCAUCUUUAAGCUUGUAUUUACGAAACAAUAUAAAUCAGGUUUUCCAUAAAUCAACAUAUACGUACAGAAUACACAACGGCCGCUUACAGAAAAAGCGAGAAGCUAAACUAAACUGUAGUAAAUGUGAGAAUCUUA